CGACCACAUCAUGUUAAAACACAAGUUGUCAUACGAUCUCCGAAGUUAAGCAACAUCAAGCCUGGUCAGUAUCUAGAUGGGUGACCGCCUGGGAAUACCAGGUGCUGUAA